GAUGAAGAACGCAGCGAAAUGCGAUAAGUAAUGUGAAUUGCAGAAUUCAGUGAAUCAUCGAAUCUUUGAACGCACCUUGCGCCCUUUGGCUAUUCCGAAGGGCAUGCCUGUUUGAGUAUCGUGAACACCUCAACUCCCAUGGUUUGCCAUGAUGAGCUUGGACUUUGGGGGUUUUGCUGGCCUUUGGUCGGCUCCUCUCAAACGGAUCAGCUUUCCAGUGUUUGGUGGCGUCACGGGUGUGAUAACUAUCUACGCCUGUGGUUUUCUGCCAGAUAACCUUCAGCGAUGGAGGUUCGCUGGGGCUCAUAAAUGUCUCUCUUCAGUGGAGACAGCUUUUUGGACGUUUGAUCUCAAAUCAGGUAGGACUACCCGCUGAACUUAAGCAUAUCAAUAAGCGGAGGA
rnacentral:misc_RNA from 1 species